GCGCAUAUAGCUCAAUUGGUUAGAGCAGCAAGCUUAUACCUUGCCGGUUCUAGGUUCGAGUCCUAGUAUGCGCACCU
rnacentral:tRNA from 1 species